GAUGAAGAACGUAGUGAAAUGCGAUAAGUAAUGUGAAUUGCAGAAUUCAGUGAAUCAUCGAAUCUUUGAACGCACCUUGCGCUCCUUGGUACUCCGAGGAGCAUGCCUGUUUGAGUGUCAUUAAUAUAUCAACCUUCUCUUUUUUGAGUUGUUUGGAUGUGGGGGUUUGCUGGCCUCUUAAAUGAUUCAGCUCCCCUGAAAUGCAUUAGCAGAACAACCUGUUCAUUAGCGUGAUAAUUAUCUAUGCUAUUGAAUGUGAGGGCAGUUCAGCUUUCUAACCGUCCUUGGACAAUUCAUCAUUAAUGUGACCUCAAAUCAGGUAGGACUACCCGCUGAACUUAAGCAUAUCAAUAAGCGGAGGA
rnacentral:misc_RNA from 1 species